AUUGAACGCUGGCGGCAGGCCUAACACAUGCAAGUCGAGCGGUAACAGAAAGUAGCUUGCUACUUUGCUGACGAGCGGCGGACGGGUGAGUAAUGCUUGGGAACAUGCCUUGAGGUGGGGGACAACAGUUGGAAACGACUGCUAAUACCGCAUAAUGUCUACGGACCAAAGGGGGCUUCGGCUCUCGCCUUUAGAUUGGCCCAAGUGGGAUUAGCUAGUUGGUGAGGUAAUGGCUCACCAAGGCAACGAUCCCUAGCUGGUUUGAGAGGAUGAUCAGCCACACUGGAACUGAGACACGGUCCAGACUCCUACGGGAGGCAGCAGUGGGGAAUAUUGCACAAUGGGCGCAAGCCUGAUGCAGCCAUGCCGCGUGUGUGAAGAAGGCCUUCGGGUUGUAAAGCACUUUCAGUCAGGAGGAAAG
rnacentral:rRNA from 1 species